rnacentral:rRNA from 1 species
UGAGUGCGAGCGGCUACGGCCGCGAAGUGGGUGAUGUCAAGCUUCCAAGAAAAGCCCUAUACCCGUUAAGGCAUGAUGGCCUGUACCCGAAACCGACACAGGUGGGGUGGUAGAGAAUACCGAGGGGCGCGAGGUAACUCUCUCUAAGGAACUCGGCAAAAUGGCCCCGUAACUUCGGGAGAAGGGGUGCCACCGCAAGGUGGUCGCAGUGAAGAGGCCCAGGCGACUGUUUACCAAAAACACAGGUCUCCGCUAAGUCGCAAGACGAUGUAUGGGGGCUGACGCCUGCCCAGUGCCGGAAGGUUAAGGAAGCUGGUCAGCGCAAGCGAAGCUGGCGACUGAAGCCCCGGUGAACGGCGGCCGUAACUAUAACGGUCCUAAGGUAGCGAAAUUCCUUGUCGGGUAAGUUCCGACCCGCACGAAAGGCGUAACGAUCUGGGCGCUGCCUCGGAGAGAGGCUCGGCGAAAUAGAAUUGUCUGUGAAGAUGCGGACUACGUGCACCCGGACAGAAAGACCCUAUGAAGCUUUACUGUAGCUUGGUAUUGUGCCCGGGCUCUGAAUGCGCAGGAUAGGUGGGAGGCUUUGAUCCAUGGCUUGCGGGUCAUGGUGAGCCGACGGUGAGAUACCACUCUUUCAGAGCUAGGGUUCUAACGGUCACCCGUUAUCCGGGGACCGGACAGUAUCAGGUGGGCAGUUUGACUGGGGCGGUCGCCUCCUAAAAGGUAACGGAGGCGCGCAAAGGUUUGCUCAGGCUGGUUGGAAAUCAGCCGACGAGUGCAAAAGCAGAAGCAAGCUUGACUGUGAGACCUACAAGUCGAACAGGGACGAAAGUCGCUUUAGUGAUCCGACGGUUCUGAGUGGAAGGGCCGUCGCUCAACGGAUAAAAGUUACUCUAGGAUAACAGGCUGAUCUCCCCCAAGAGUUCACAUCGACGGGGAGGUUUGGCACCUCGAUGUCGGCUCAUCGCAACCUGGGGCUGAAGUCGGUCCCAAGGGUUGGGCUGUUCGCCCAUUAAAGCGGUACGCGAGCCGGGUUCAGAACGUCGUGAGACAGUUCGGUCCAUAUCCGGUGCACGCGCAGGAACAUUGAGAGGAUUUCUCCCUAGUACGAGAGGACCGGGAGGAACGCACCUCUGGUGUGCCAGUUAUCGUGCCAACGGUAAACCCUGGGUAGCCAUGUGCGGAGUGGAUAACCGCUGAAAGCAUCUAAGUGGGAAGCCCACCUCAAGAUGAGUGUUCCCAUGGCAUAAGCCAGUAAGGUCACGGGAAGAACACCCGUUGAUAGGCUCUACGUGGAAGCCGGGUAACCGGUGAAGCGGAGGAGUACUAAUAGACCGAGGGCUUGACC